UACGAAGGGGGCUAGCGUUGCUCGGAAUCACUGGGCGUAAAGCGCACGUAGGCGGAUUGUUAAGUCAGGGGUGAAAUCCUGGAGCUCAACUCCAGAACUGCCUUUGAUACUGAGGAUCUUGAGUUCGGGAGAGGUGAGUGGAACUGCGAGUGUAGAGGUGAAAUUCGUAGAUAUUCGCAAGAACACCAGUGGCGAAGGCGGCUCACUGGCCCGAUACUGACGCUGGGGCACGAAAGCGUGGGGAGCAAACAGG
rnacentral:rRNA from 1 species